rnacentral:rRNA from 1 species
GACGAACCGAGCGAACGUUGUUCGGAAUCACUGGGCUUAGAGGGCGCGUAGGCGGACUAUCGAGUCCCGGGUGAAAUCCUCCAGCUUAACUGGAGAACGGCCUCGGAUACUGAUGGUCUCGAGGAAGAUAGGGGCACGCGGAACUGUGGGUGGAGCGGUGAAAUGCGUUGAUAUCCAUAGGAACUCCGGUGGCGAAGGCGGCGUGCUGGAUCUUUUCUGACGCUGAGGCGCGAAAGCCAGGGGAGCGAACGGG